rnacentral:lncRNA from 10 species
AAAUGGACCACGACUCCACUGAGCGUUUGGAUUACACUCAGAAUGCUGAGGGAAAAACGUUCAGAAUCUCACCCUUCAGGGAAAAGCGAUGGGACUCCGCGGUGCUCCUUGCCUACGAUUCCCGCACUGCCCAUGGGGAACGAAUCCUAUAUCGCUGAGCGCUUGGUAGGGAAUGUGGACUGUGACCCUGAGAGUCGUCCUUCCCUCUGCCUGAGUCCUUGAGCGAAAAUAUUGAAUAGACAGCAAUUCCUGAAGUCUAAACGCCUCCCAGGACUACGGAGGAUUAUUGGAAAGAGAACAAGCGAGGAGAUACAAUCUUCAAGGACUAAAUGGGGAAUGACUUUUUAGGGGUCAGUAGAUGAUUGAUGAUUGAUUACUAUAAACUGAUAAUAUGAGGCCAAAACUAAAAGUUGGAAGAGUGAGCAAGUACAAUGGUUUGGGAGAGGCAAUGAAGAACAAAGAAGGUGCCAGCCCCUACUCCAGACGCUGUGGUACCACUGGUUUGGCAGGAAAAACAAUCAUCAUUUGAGAGGGCCAGUGGGGAAGCCCUGUCCUCAUGGAAAAGCUAUCUUCUUUCGUUUACACUUUUCAUGGUAUUAUGUCUACUGAAGAGGUAAAAACACCAAAUUUCAGAGAAGCUCUUAAAUUGCCCAAUACUUCAAAGCAAGUA